rnacentral:misc_RNA from 1 species
AACAUCGCGCACCUGCGGGAACCUGCGGAAGGAUCAUUACAGAGUUGCAAAACUCCCUAAACCAUUGUGAACGUUACCUAAACCGUUGCUUCGGCGGGCGGCCCGGGUCCUUCCCGGCGCCCAUCGGCCCUCGCGGGCGCCCGCCGGAGGUAAACCAAACUAUUGCAUUGUAUGGCCUCUCUGAGUCUUCUGUACUGAAUAAGGCAAAACUUUUAGCAACGGAUCUCAGAUCGGAAGAGC